AGUGAGAAACUACGUAGAUUCAAAACGCACGGUACGGAUGAGCUUUUUCGUUUCAUUACAUCGUAGACCAUCAAACCGGAUAGAUGGAUAAGAUUCUACUGUUCUUCAUGUUAUCCAUCGUUGUUUGUAAUGGCCGACCUCCACGUGAUCAGGCCGAAAAUAUUAAGACGACAGCGAAUCGUCGUAGUGCAUCAGUUUUACGUGCAAUCGCUCUGUACGCCAAUCCGUUCGGAUGGAUUGGAACACCGAACUGGCCCCGCCGACCGAACAAAACCAAUAGGAAGACGAACGAGAAAACAAACGUCAGUUACCUUUGGGUCAUCGAAAUCGAUCACUCGAAUCACUGGUGGUUUACCGUCUAUGAGAAAGGAUCGCAAAUUCCCGGACCGGAUAAAAAGGCAAUAAUGAAAUUGUUCUAAAAAAACAAACAUAUUUUCGCCUCUCUCCACCACGCAACUUUAUAUUUUAUUGACAUCUUCCCAGCUCGAUGUUUUCCUUUUUUUUUUUUUUUAUAUUUAAAUAAUUUCGCAUUAUUUUUGAUUGAAUUUAAUAAGUCCAAUGCGAUGUUUAACUAAAUCAUCGAAAGACACAACACGAUUUUAAAAAAAAGAGGGGAUUUUGUUGUUGUUGGAAUUAUGCUAAGGAGUGUGUAAGGAAGGAGGACGAAGGUGUGAGUUAUGGAUCAAAGAGUCAAUUCAUUUCAAAAGAGAAAUAGAUGAAAAGAAAAUAGGAAAUGAAGAAAGAAAUGAUUGUAAAGAUGAGCCAAAAUCACUACCUUUUUCCGAUCAUCGCCUUUUUCUCUUUUCUUUUUUAAGGAAGAACGGCAUGACAUCAUCAUCAUCAAUUUUUUUUUUUUUUCAUCAAGAUUUUUUUUUU